rnacentral:rRNA from 1 species
ACGGAAGGCAGCAGUGGGGGAUAUUGCACAAUGGGGGAAACCCUGAUGCAGCGACGCCGCGUGAGUGAAGAAGUAUUUCGGUAUGUAAAGCUCUAUCAGCAGGGAAGAAAAUGACGGUACCUGACUAAGAAGCUCCGGCUAAAUACGUGCCAGCAGCCGCGGUAAUACGUAUGGAGCAAGCGUUAUCCGGAUUUACUGGGUGUAAAGGGAGCGUAGACGGCGAGGCAAGUCUGAUGUGAAAGCCAUGGGCUUAACCCAUGAACUGCAUUGGAAACUGUCUUGCUAGAGUGUCGGAGAGGUAAGCGGAAUUCCUAGUGUAGCGGUGAAAUGCGUAGAUAUUAGGAGGAACACCAGUGGCGAAGGCGGCUUACUGGACGAUAACUGACGUUGAGGCUCGAAAGCGUGGGGAGCAAACAGGAUUAGAUACCCUGGUA